AGUGAACGCUGGCGGUAGGCCUAACACAUGCAAGUCGAACGGCAGCACAGUAAGAGCUUGCUCUUACGGGUGGCGAGUGGCGGACGGGUGAGGAAUACAUCGGAAUCUACUUUUUCGUGGGGGAUAACGUAGGGAAACUUACGCUAAUACCGCAUACGACCUACGGGUGAAAGCAGGGGAUCUUCGGACCUUGCGCGAUUGAAUGAGCCGAUGUCGGAUUAGCUAGUUGGCGGGGUAAAGGCCCACCAAGGCGACGAUCCGUAGCUGGUCUGAGAGGAUGAUCAGCCACACUGGAACUGAGACACGGUCCAGACUCCUACGGGAUGCAGCAGUGGGGAAUAUUGGACAAUGGGCGCAAGCCUUAUCCAGCCAUACCGCGUGGGUGAAGAAGGCCUUCGGGUUGUAAAGCCCUUUUGUUGGGAAAGAAAAGCAGCAGGUUAAUACCCCGCUGUUCUGACGGUACCCAAAGAAUAAGCACCGGCUAACUUCGUG
rnacentral:rRNA from 1 species